GACGAACGCUGGCGGCGUGCCUAAUACAUGCAAGUAGAACGCUGAAGCGAGGAGCUUACUCUUCUUGGAUGAGUUGCGAACGGGUGAGUAACGCGUAGGUAACCUGCCUUGUAGCGGGGGAUAACUAUUGGAAACGAUAGCUAAUACCGCAUAACAAUGGAUGACACAUGUCAUUUAUUUGAAAGGGGCAAUUGCCCCACUACAAGAUGGACCUGCGUUGUAUUAGCUAGUAGGUGAGGUAAUGGCUCACCUAGGCGACGAUACAUAGCCGACCUGAGAGGGUGGUCGGCCACACUGGGACUGAGACACGGCCCAGACGCCUACGGGAGGCAGCAGUAGGGAAUCUUCGGCAAUGGGGGCAACCCUGACCGAGCAACGCCGCGUGAGUGAAGAAGGUUUUCGGAUCGUAAAGCUCUGUUGUAAGUCAAGAACGGGUGUGAGAGUGGAAAGUUCACACUGUGACGGUAGCUUACCAGAAAGGGACGGCUAACUACGUG
rnacentral:rRNA from 1 species